rnacentral:rRNA from 1 species
UACGUAGGGUGCAGGCGUUAAUCGGAAUUACUGGGCGUAAAGGGCGCGUAGGCGGCCUUCUAAGUCGAACGUGAAAUCCCUGGGCUCAACCCAGGAACUGCGUCCGAUACUGGGAGGCUUGAAUCCGGGAGAGGGAUGUGGAAUUCCAGGUGUAGCGGUGAAAUGCGCAGAUAUCGGGAAGAACACCCGUGGCGAAGGCGGCUCUCUGGGACGGUACUGACGCUGAGACGCGAAAGCGUGGGGAGCGAACAGG